UACGGGGGGAGCAAGCGUUGUUCGGAUUUACUGGGCGUAAAGGGCGCGUAGGCGGCCAGCACAAGUCAGUUGUGAAAUCUCCGGGCUUAACUCGGAAAGGUCAACUGAUACUGUGCGGCUAGAGUGCAGAAGGGGCAACUGGAAUUCUCGGUGUAGCGGUGAAAUGCGUAGAUAUCGGGAGGAACACCUGUGGCGAAAGCGGCGCACUGGACCACAACUGACGCUGAGGCGCGAAAGCUAGGGGAGCAAACAGG
rnacentral:rRNA from 1 species